rnacentral:misc_RNA from 1 species
UCUCCGUUGGUGAACCAGCGGAGGGAUCAUUACAGGACUCGCAAGACUCCUUCACCCUGUGAACCUCACUACAAGCACGUUGCUUCGGCGGGUGUCCCGGCGGGGGUUUUCCCUCGCCGGGGCGCACAGCCCGCCGGCAGCCUACUAUACUCUGUCUCUUUGCGUUGGCAUCUCGAGAAAAAACAAACGAGUUAAAACUCUCAACAACGGAUCUCUUGGUUCUG